rnacentral:rRNA from 1 species
GUUUGAUCCUGGCUCAGAACGAACGCUGGCGGCAGGCCUAACACAUGCAAGUCGAACGCCGUAGCAAUACGGAGUGGCAGACGGGUGAGUAACACGUGGGAACGUACCUUUCGGUUCGGAAUAACUCAGGGAAACUUGAGCUAAUACCGGAUACGUGCGAGAGCAGAAAGAUUUAUCGCCGAAAGAUCGGCCCGCGUCCGAUUAGCUUGUUGGUGAGGUAAUGGCUCACCAAGGCGACGAUCGGUAGCUGGUCUGAGAGGAUGAUCAGCCACACUGGGACUGAGACACGGCCCAGACUCCUACGGGAGGCAGCAGUGGGGAAUAUUGGACAAUGGGGCGAAAGCCUGAUCCAGCCAUGCCGCGUGAGUGAUGAAGGCCUUAGGGUUGUAAAGCUCUUUGUCCGGGAAGAUAAUGACGGUACCGGAAGAAUAAGCCCCGGCUAACUUCGUGCCAGCAGCCGCGGUAAUACGAAGGGGCUAGCGUUGUUCGGAUUUACUGGGCGUAAAGCGCACGUAGGCGGA